UACGUAGGCAGCAAGCGUUGUUCGGAGUUACUGGGCGUAAAGAGUAUGUAGGCGGUUGGGUAAGUUUGGUGUGAAAUCUCCCGGCUUAACUGGGAGGGUGCGCUAAAGACUGCCUGGCUCGAGUGUGGGAGAGGAAAGCGGAAUUCCUGGUGUAGCGGUGAAAUGCGUAGAUAUCAGGAGGAACACCAGUGGCGAAGGCGGCUUCCUGGACACAGACUGACACUGAGGCACGAAAGCGUGGGUAGCAAACAGG
rnacentral:rRNA from 1 species